rnacentral:misc_RNA from 1 species
AUAUAGCAUUCUUGAUAAGACAGCAGACCCCUCUCUCUUCCUUUCUAUACAGCUCCCUCUUGAUUUCUCACUUUCUCACUCAUUCAUUCACUCUCUUUCUCUCUCACUCUCUCAUAUUCACACAACAACACAGACCAAGAUACAUAAUACAGCUUGCAUUCAUCAGCAGCAGUGACUGUACAACUCUACAGCAGGAUACACAUCUCAGUCAACGCUGUUACACUGAGAAAGAUUUAACAGCAACGAUUUAACAUAAAUGCCUGCAAAAAAUAAUUUUUUAAAAAAUUUCUGACUAAAGUGAUAUUAAAAGAUAAUAUGAAGAUUAAUCUUUCCAUGCUGUUGUUGUUUAUAAAGCUAGCAGUGUCUGUUGAUCUUACUUACCAUGUGAAAGAGGGUCAAAGGCCUGGAACUUUUAUUGGUGAUAUCACUGCUGAUACUAGUUUGUUAGACAGUAUCUUAAUGUCUAAUCGCAAACCAAUCACAUUUAGUCAACUGUAUGAAAGAUUAAAUGGUAAUUCACAGUUAUUUAAUGUUACCAAGGGAGGAAAAUUAUACACCACACAUACAUUUGAUGCUGAGUCACUUUGCAAAUAUAACAGUGAAUGUUCAAGAAUAAUUGAAAUUGCUGUUCAACAAGAGGAAACUUUCCUGAAGAUAAUUGAACUGAAAAUUAUUAUAGUUGAUGAUAAUGACAACCCUCCUGAAUUUCCAGUGAAACUUAUCCAUCUCCAGUUCUAUGAAAGUGAUAAAAAAGGAACAACAAAAUCUAUCCCAAAUGCCAUGGACAAAGAUGUUAGUAUUGCAAAUUCUCAAAUUACAUACCACUUAAGCAAGGAUGAAGAUGAACCAUUUGGUCUAUCGAUUUUAAACAGUGUUCUUGGUACCUCGAAAUUAAAAUUAAGUUUAACUCAAGAACUCGAUCGAGAAGUGAAAAGCCAUUAUUCACUCCAGAUUGUUGCCAGUAAUGGGGGGUUCCCAAGAAAAGUUGGCAUUUUGAAAGUUGAAGUGUCUGUUAUAGAUGAAAAUGACCAUGCACCUGUCUUCACACAUAAUACAAAUAACAUUACUAUAAGCAGUGCACACCAGAGAAAUGAGCCAGUAAUCACAAUGUUUGCAGAUGAUUUAGAUGCUGGUGAAAAUGGGAAUGUUUCAUAUAAUUUCAAUCUCAAAACCUCAUCACUGACACAAUCUUAUUUUAAUAUAAAUAAAAAUACAGGAGAAAUAUUUUUAAACAGUAAUUUUCCAUUUGGUAAAAGACAAACCUAUAACCUUUUCAUUGAUGCCACAGAUCAUGGUAGUCCUCCAUUGAGUUCUACAGCAAUUGUUCUUAUUAAUGUUUUAAACCAACAGAACAAUGCUCCAAGGAUUGAUGUGAAAUUCGUUUCUAAAUCGGAUGGAAAUGUGGUUUCCAUAUCAGAAGGAGUGAAAGUUGGUAGUUUCAUUGCUUAUGUGAAGGUCAUUGAUAAUGACAGUGGCCACAAUGGAGAAGUUGAUUGUAUUCUAAAUCAUGACAAGUUUAUGCUACAAAGUCUGGGGAAAAAUAAAUAUAAAGUCGUUAUCAAAAGUCUUGUUAACAGGGAAUUAGAAAGUCACAUGGACUUAAGUAUUGUCUGUGAAGAUAAGGGAUUUCCAUCCUUAAAGACAGAGAGAAAAUUUUCUAUUGAUGUGAUGGAUGUCAAUGAUGUACAACCAUACUUUACAAAAAGCACAUUUAAAUUCUUAACUUAUGAAAAUGAAGAACCUAAUUUUCCUGUUGGGUUUAUCAAUGCUACAGAUCCUGAUUUAGGUCUUGGAGGACAACUAUCAUAUUCUUUGUUUGAUGAACAUGGAUAUGUUCUUCCAUUUAAGAUUUCCAAUUUUGGAUUUAUUACAACAGCUCAAUCUUUGGAUCAUGAAAAACAAGACAUGUACGAAUUUAAGGCUAUCGUAAAAGAUAAUGGUGAACCACGGUUAAGUAAUACAGCUAAUGUUAUUGUUGAAGUUAUGGAUAAAAAUGACAAUGCACCAUACUUUACAUUUCCAAGUAUCAAAUUAUUUAAUAUAGACGUCCACUACCAUCCACAGAGUAAGAGUGACAUCACAACAUUAAGAGCCUCCGACAGAGACAGCCAUGUAAAUUCCUUCCUCAGAUAUGAAAUACUUGGAGGCAAUGACAAACAGUUAUUUACAGUUAACCCUUACACAGGAGUUUUGUCUUUCUCUCGUACAGUUUACCAAAAUGAUGCUGGAUCAUAUAAUCUAAAAUUAGCUGUCAAAGACAAUGGUACACCAGUUUUAUCAACAACAACCACACUGUCUUUGACACUAACUGUUAGCAAUACAACUGCCAGAAUGUACACAGCUGAAGACACGGAAUCAGACAACAGAAUACAUAUUAACCUGAUGAUUAUUAUAGUAGUGGCUGCAGUAAUAGUGUCUGUUGCUAUUGUGGUCUCGGUGAUUGUAUGUAUUGUUCACAAAAGAAAUCAGAGGCAUACACAUUUUAAUUUAAAUAAAAAAUGCAUAAAACAAGGAAGACGUUCAAGAUAUUUUUGUGAGCAAGACUCUCCAAAAUAUGACAUUCCAAUUACAGUGGUAACGGAUUCUGUGAACAGUGCCCAUUCACGAUCAGCAUCACUGAGAAGAGACACUCAUACGGGAGAUAACUCAUCUACAAACUGGAACACUUCAACUACCGAAAUUCCACAUCCCAGCUAUUUACAAGAAAUACACCAGGCUGAUGGGAGAGGUUUUAGCUCAGAAUUACAACUCCAUAUGGUACCUAUUUACAGCUAGAUGACCUAUGGUGAUUAAAUUUUAAGGGGUCUUCUGCUAUGCAGGUGACAAGGUAUGGCCUAUUGACCCUUUGGCUGAUAAGUCUUCACUCUAGAAACAAUCUGACCUCAGAAUUAUUGAAGAAGUCACAGUUCCAGAAUACAGGUAGGAGAACCUAAGCUUGGCCAACAAUUUCUCUACCCAUGCCAAAUGGCUAUGACAUCAUCCCUUUCUUUCCAGAAAAGUAUGAAAAAAAAAAAAAGAAACAAAUAUGAGGAAAAUAAAAAAAAUUAAUAAUAUCCCUUGUGAAUGUUGUCAUCAAGCAGGUGUUUGGCAGGUUUUUGGUUAUGGUGUUAUUGAUCUAAAAUCUCAAAUGCAUUUUGCUGUAAUUAAUAAAUUACUCACCUGGAAUCAAUGGAGACACUUUCUCUUUAGAUAGAGUAAAAUGUCUACCUUACCUGAAAAAUACACAGGUAAUUAAACGUAACAUGUAAGUUGAGAAGAAAGGAAUACAUACAGGUGAAUGCAUCUGUGAUGCUAGCCAUAAUGGUAAUAGUGUACCUGGAACAUAGCAUCAAUAUACCUGUGACAAGCAGAAUAAUAUAUUUACAAUAACUGGUAGUAAAAACAAAAAAAGUGGUUCUUAAUACGUGUGUAUUAUUUGGGUGGCUAAAGAGAUAUUGUGGUUGUAAAUAUUAGUGACAAGGUUACUCAAGGCUUUUAAAUCUCGUUGCUAGGCAGAUAUUUUGUCUGUACACAAUAUCUAUUUUAUCAGAAUAAUAUGAAGCAUAUGCCUCUAGAUUUAUUUGUCACAAAAGUGUUCAAAGCUUGUUGUCAUGGACUGAUGAAAUAGUGUUAGUCAUUUGCUGAUUUAGUAUUAUUGUAAAGUUAAAUAGCUAGAUGAAAAUAGCUUCAAGAGCAAAGAGGCUGUAUAUCUCAGUAGGUUUUUAAUGUUUUUGAUAAAUCUCUGUGUUUCAAUAGGCAUUAGAUUUUUUUGAAACUUUUCCUUUGUUGAAGUGAUAAAGGAAAGAAAAUUUUAACAUCGUAUCAUUUAAUUUAUAUGAAAGCUGUUAAAGAUAGGUUCAUAUGUUUUGCAUAUGAAAAAAUCCCACUGAAAGAAAGAAUUCAUGAAUCUUUUGUUUAAAUUAAACCAAACCUAUGGCUCUUCAUGGGUAUUUGAAAUAAUAUUCAGAACCAGAGCAAAUAAUAAUGAAACCAAUAAUAUAUCUAUUAAACAACCAAACCUGUCCUACCCAACAAAUUGAUAAAAUUACAAAUAAACUUAUGAAUUAAAAACAAUCAACAAACAUUCAGUUCAUUUGACAAUCAACCCAACAAACAAUUUGUUUACAAUAUAUUUUAUAUGUUUUGCCACAAUUAUUAGCAUAAAGAAAAGAGGGCAAAUGUUCAGAGAGUAGUUAUGUCUGAUUAAAUUAUUUGUUUAAACAAUAUCAUCUACAUCAAAAUCUUUUUUCAUUAUGAUCCCCAAACCAUUGUUCUAAUAAUUCAUUGAUCGGUAUAAUUAAGAACAUUUACUUGUUUGCUACAAUGAAGUAAAGAGAGAUAAGUCCGCUGAUAAGUUUAAAUUUUACCUUGUAUUAUCAAACUCUGCCAGAACUAUUUGUUUAUUUGAAUUAGUCUAGCUGAAAAAGAAAAACAGAAUAGAAAAAAGAAAACACUGCAUUAUAUUAUUUACGUCGCAUGGAAGAAUGGUUGGAGAGAGACAAACCAUCCACUUAUAAAACAUCCAGCUCAAAUUACUUAUGCCAAUGUCUGAAUUUGCAAACCCGUCCAGUGCUAACGUGGAGAAUCAUAGUUGAACAUUUUUUUUAUUCAAUGUAAAGCAAAAUCAAAUU